rnacentral:lncRNA from 1 species
CCCCUAUGGCACGUAGAAGUUUCCAGCCUAGGGGUCCAACCUGAGCUAUAGCUGCCGGCCUACACCAGAGCCAGAGCCACGCCAGAUCCGAGCCAUCUGCAACCUACACCACAGCUCACAGCAAUGCUAGAUCCUUAACCCACUGAGUGAGGCCAGGGAUCGAACCUGAAUCAUCAUGGAUACUAGUCAGAUAAAUUUCUGCUGAGCCAUGACAGGAACUCCCAUUUUAGUUUUAUAUUAAACUUUUUCAUCUAAGUCUUAUAAUACUUGUCACUAUGCAUAUAUAUAUAUUUCAAUGAAACAUCAGUAAAAAUGUAUCAACACCCAUUAGCACCAACAUGUACUUUUUUUUGGCCACACUGGAGGCCUGUGGAAGUUCCUGGGCCAGGUAUCGAACUUGCGCCACAGCAGCAACCCAAGCCAUUGCAAUGAUAAUGCUGGAUCUUGAACCCACUGUGCCACAAGGAAACUCCAAUCAAUAUUUACUUUUAAGAUGAUGUUUUGCCUGCAUCCUUUGGAUGUGGUGGGACCUGGAUUAAACUCAGUGGUUCCUGCAUUUCUGGUGUCUUAUAACAAUCAUAGAAAAUGGUAAAGAAAAAUAGGACAUUGUGUAUAUAAGUACACAUAUUUGCAGUAAUACUAAUUUAUUAUAAUUGAUUUAUCAAUAGUUGAAUGGGGUUUUGUGAUCUGAACUAGUGCUUUAAUCUCCAUUAGUUAUAUACUACAUCUAAAGCUGUGUUUCAAGUUAUUUAAAAAACCGGCAAUAUCAAAUGUUUUCAAUGGAAAUUAUUAUUAUUAAACCCUGAGACAUUGGUCAAAAAAGCAAAGCAAUUUUAGCGGAAAGUAAUAUCAGAUAAAAAUGUCUAAAUGGGUUAUAAUGCAUCUGGCAAUGACUUAACUAUUUCAAAAUAAGAAUUUGGAGCAUUAAACAUGCAGACUUUAUUUUAUAAUGAACAUGUCAUCAUUUAUUAGACAUUUAUUUAUGUGUGUGUAUUUCCUCCAACUUCAUUCCUACCCUCCAACCAGAAUAAACACUAUGUGCUCCAAAUUGUAUUAGAAAUGUUGACACAGUGAGGAGGGAAAUUCACCUUUAGGAACGUGCCGUAGGAAUGACAGAAAGAUCUCAGAGCGAGCCUUAGCCAGUUACCCCUCACGGGUGAAAUCUGGCUCAUCAUCAGCUUUUGUCAGUAGAGGUCUCAGAACGUAGCUAUGCCCAUUCAUUUAGGCAUGUGCUCAUCGGCUGCUUUGGGCUUAUAAUACCAAAGUUGAGCAUCUGUGAGAGAGCUUAUGACCCUAAAGGUAGAAACUAUUUAUUUGGCGCUUUAUAGAAAUAGUUUCUAAGCUCUGUACAGUAUAACUGACUAAUACCUGGAAGAAGGCAGCAUGUUUAUUACAUUAGAACUAGUUUCCAAGGUUUAUGUGGAAACUAGUGCAAAUUAUUCUUUAGAAAUCUUGGGAUGUCAUAGGUGUUUGUGGAACAUAUCUUCUUUUUACAUAUUUUAUACAUAAAACUUGUACUUUUCAUAACAGAUAUAUAACUACAAUCUGUAUCGUGCCUUUUUGUUCUGUUUUGGGAAACAUUGAAAGUGCUUUUUGUCAUUUCUCACUCAGUUCUUUUAAAGGUCAAAUAAAGACUGCCAUUUCUGGAAGAAUCUUCAUUAAACAACAUGAAUCUCCUUUCUUUGGGGCAAGAUAAACUCUUUGUUUUGGCUUUUAUUCUGUUCAUCUAUUUUGCGCCAAUUUUCUAGAGUCCUCAUAUAUCUUUCUAGGCUUUAAUCCCCUCUAUAUUUUCUUUUUUCUUCCCAUAAGAAAGAAAUACACAAUUGUGAAAGUAGCUUAAAAUUCACCUAAAUAAAUUUGCAUUUGUUAAAAUAAUAAAUAAAUCAUAUUCUCAAGUUAGGAUCUUGUUUCUACUGAUCAAAUGGAUUUUUUAAAUCCGUUUACACUUACUAGUAUGUUUAUUUGCAAAAUUAUUUUCUAUAAAUUCUCCUGCAAAAGUCUAGGUGGAUUAUUUUUCUCUAAUUAGCCAAUUAUUUUAGCUUGCUUUCCAUGUUGCUAGGUGUAUUUUCUUUUCUAAAUUUCAAGUUCAAAUAUAGGCCAGGGACUCUGUCACUUCUAUUCAUUAUGUUCCAUGUAUCUAUCUGUAAUGGUUUCCAUACAUAUCGUAUAUUUUAAGAAUAUUUUUGUUUUCUACGAUGUUUUCAUAUAUGACUGACUGUGAUGUACUUAUCUUUUUAAAAUUGGCUUGCUUGCUUGCUUCCUUCCUUCCUUCUUCCUCCCUUUCUUUCUUUCUUUUUUUCUUCUUUCUCUCUCUUUUUUCUUUUUAUAGUUGCACCUGUCACACAUGGGCGUUCUGGGCCGGGGAUUGAAUCCAAGCUGCAGCUGCAACCUACGUCACAGCUGAGGCAAUUCCAGAUCCUAUAACCCACUGAACCAGGCUGGGGAUCCCACUUGGGGAACCCAUGCCUCCCCAGCUGCCAAAGCCACUUGUCAUUGGAUUCUUAACCCACUGCACCAUAGCAGGAAAUCCCUCAAAAUUUUCUUAAAUAUUAUUGCAAUCAAGAUCAAAAAUCAUUCCUCAUGGGCUUCACUUAUGAUGUGCUAGGCACUUUUAUAGAUGUGGUGAACAGGAUGAGCAGAAAUAUCUAAAGGAAGCUGAGGCUUCUCAGGAAAUGCUGACUUCUGGCUUGCCUGAAAUUGGAAGAUGAGCUGCCCCUGCUUGCCCUUGCCCCCGGCAUCCCUCCGCUGCGAGGACCUUCCCAUCUUCAUCCUCGUGUUUCCGGCAGAAGCUUCAUGAGGGGCUGUCCUGCUGCUUUUCCUGGUCUUGCUGCUGAUGCUGGGUGACCACCCUCUGCAUACGGGUUCAUUACACAAGAGCUUUACGUCAUAGUGAAGUGGGGUAUUCAUUUUAGAAUUUUUGACUUUAUUAGAGAAGAUAAAUUUUUUGUUUUUUUUUUUAAAUUAGCAUUGAGAUAUUUUGUAUGAUUUAUUUUAUCUUAUUUUUCUUUCAAUUGGCAGAAAAACCUAACCCUAACCCUAACCCUAACCCUAACCCUGGGAGGGGAAUUAUGAGCCUUGGGGAUCUGAAAAGGAAAAAAUCUUCUACUCUGGUCAUUACUCACUGCAGGAUGGGAUGGGGAAUGAAAGCAACUAACACCAAGCCCAGUCUUUCGUUAGUGGAUAAAGAAAGGAGGCUGAGACAUUUCACAGCAGUUUGGGAGUUGGGAAAUUGACGUACAACCACUUAGAAGCAUUUAUAUCUGGAUUAUAAAUCCGUAAGUGCUCAUUUUAAAAGAGAUUUGUAUAUAUGAGCCAUGUAAAAAUUAAGGGAAUUAAAACAAGGCUGAGCCAUUUCAUGUUUCAUCUCAAUGAUAAUCGUAUGCUUGACUUGCUUUUUCUUACGCUCUCAUGCCUUGAUCCUUUAGAUUUAUUUUCUAGGACUGGUGUGAACAUGAUAAACUUUAUAAAUUAUAAAUGCCAUAUUUUAUCAAACAUGAAAUGUAUACAUUUUCACAUUUUAAUAUACUUUGACUCUGACUGUGUCUUAUAAUUGUCAUCACCCAGGAUACAGAUAGGACAUAACUUGUACUGCUUGCAUGGCUAUGCAUGGGUUAGAGCUUGUUAGAGUGUGCUCCUUUUUAACUUAGUUGUGUAUUUUUAAUUCCACAGGUGGGGAUUUAAUUCCCAAUGAAAUUGUAUUUCCCAAGAUUACAUCAUGACUUUGCAUUAAAACUAAAAAGGUACUGUGUUCACAGGAAAGACUGGAACUCAAAGAGCAGAGAGUGGAUUCGGUAUCGUGAAGAACAUAUUAGUCGUUGGGAGAAUGAUUACAAUUUCAUAUGAUCUUACACAAUGACCAGACUGUGUUUUAUGAGACCUAAGGAAGUAAGAUAUCCAAAAGUUUGACGAUCCCGCUGCAUUUUGCUUGAGUUACGGUUGCAUGUAGCACAGCAAACAAUGAAGCUGAUGUCAGGAUAAGUUGUCCCAGAGCUGGGAAUAGAUGAGAAAAGAAAUCCGAGCAAGGAGAUGCUGGUGUGACAGCUUUAUUCAUCAAAAGGGGCUAUCGUUAAGGUGUCAAACAUCGCUGUGUCAGAAUUUUCUGCUGAUGUUGAACAAAAGACAAUAGCAGCACUAUCUUUAAGAAAUGCUGCAACACCAAUGCUCUUGUCAGCUCAUGGCAUGAGAUUGUGUCGGGAAAAAAUGAGUAUCUGAGUUGGAAAGUGACUCAGAAAACGUGGACGCUGAAUAUGAAGUAGCAUCAAACUUAAGUGGCUUGCACGUAUUGUCCUUUUAGUAUACACAAGAACGACAGACAGGGAGUUCCUGUCAUGGCACAGCAGAAACGAAUCCAACUAGCAUCCAGGAGGAUGCAAGUUUAAUCUCUGGCCUCGGGUUAAGGAUCCAGCGUUGCCGUGAGCUGUGCUGUAAGUCACAGACUCGGCUCGGAUCCCCUGUUGCUGUGGUUGGGGAUAGGCCGGCAGCUACAGCUCUGAUUCAAACCCUAGCUUAGGAACUCCCAUAUGCCGUGGGUGCUGCCCUAAAAAAAGAAGGAAAAAAAAAAAAAGAAUGACAUAAAAUCUUUUAAUUUUAAGAGAGCUCUUUCAUUAAAUAUAAAGUAAAUAUUCUAUAUGAUAAGAAAAGCGGAAACUUAGAAACUGGUAUCUAUGUGAUUUAUAACAGAAUCUGAAACCACUGUAGACAUAGAUACGAAGUACAAAGUAGGAAGAUGUAAAUGUCAUAUGCAUCCGCGUACGUGGUCCUGGGUCCAGCCCUGGGAACUGCGUCGGGAAAUAUGUAGCUGGGGGAGUCACAGCUGAGAUGGGAGCAGAAGAACCAAAAAGAGCUAAUGAGAGAAGAGGUGGCAGCACAUUCUGGGCAAAGGGAACAGAAUGUGAAAGGUCUUAAGAAAGAGGAAGCAUCACAAGUCUGAGGUAGUAACAUCAAACUGAAGCGAUUUGACAGAAGAAAUUGAGGAAGUGUUCCAUGAAGUGAAAAUUGGGGCUUGUCAGAGCUUAAAUCAUGCUGUCUUUGAAAGUCAUGUUAAUACUUUUUUUUUUUUUUACAUUUCUGAGCAACGAGCCCAUUGGAGAGACGUAGAAGAGGGGAAUCAACUCAGAGUGCGGGUGAAGACCGUGCGAUGGAAGACGGUGUAGAAAACGAAUUUAAGAUCACCCACUUUGAUCCCUGGAAAGAAAAGCAUGGAGAAGGUUCAGAGUGGAGGAAAUGGGAAUGAGUCAGUGUGAGAUUUUUCAAAGUUGAAGUGUGUUGGACUCUAUAGUGUUUGCAAAUAACUACCUGGAAAGACUGUUGAAUUUCAAUGUCUCAGAUGGUGACAGAAAUUUGGAAAAUAGAGUUACCUACUGCAUUUGAAGCUGUCCAUACCCUACAGUGUAGCAACUGCGUUCUUCAGAGUCUACACUGGAAAAGCUUGUGAGCGGGAAUAUUGUACAGAAACCUUCAUAGAAGCCUGGCUUAUGGGAGGGAAAUUUUGGGAACGCGUUGAACUGUUAUUUGCAAAUUCUGGUAUACCUGUAAAAUGCACAGUAUACAGCAAUGAACACUUAGUAAUUGCAGCUAUCACAUUCUCCAUCUCCAGAUAUAGUUUCUUCACUGGAUAGUGAUCACCUGAGAAUUCGCUCUUCACUGAUGCACUAAAAUGUCCAUUCAUGUUUUGUAUAAUUUUAUUUAUUAUGCUAUGUUUCAUAUUUAAUGAUAUGCGUAUGUUAAUUAUAUACACAACGCAGAAUGAAUAUAUAUACAAAAAUGCAAAUACAUACACAUAUUGAUAUAAAAUAGUAAUAAAACUAAGAAAUGUCCAAGAACCAUGUGACGUAAAUUUGUUAAUGCUUGUUAUUGGCACAAAAUACAUUAAAUUAGAGACAAGGCUUAUUGUAUGUUGGAUAGGAAGACUCAAAUUAUGGAGUGAUUUUUCCCUUUGUUAACUUAUUGAUUUGACAAUAUCCUGAUAAAAUUUCAACUGGGAUUCUUUUUAACUAUACCAUUUGUUUUUAGAUUUAUAUCUAAGAAAAGGAACAGAUAAAAAUAUCUAGGGAAACUCUAGGAAAAAACAAAGAAUAGGAGUCAUCUCUACAACUAGCAGAAAUUGAAACAUAGUGUACAGACUAAAAACAAAGUUUCAUGGAUCUGGUCUAUUAAUGAAAACAAGAACAAUGGAACACACUGGUAAUCCAGAGACACACCAAGAAAAUAUGGAAUUUAGUAUUAGUUGGCGUAUGAGGGUACUGGAAAAGGAAGAGGUGGACAAUUCCAUAAACAGUGCAUACACGUUCUGUAAACAAACAAACAAAAAAUAAGUAAACUUGGUUUCAUAGUUUCUACAUUGAAAAUACUUUUUUUUUUUUUGCUUUUGCUUUUUAGGGCCACAAACACGGCAUAUGGAAGUUCUAGGCUAGGGGUCCAAUCAGAGCUACAAGUGCUGGCCUACACCACAGCCCCAGCAAUGCCAGAUCCCCGACCCACUGAGAGAGGCCAGG